AAAAAAAUCAAUGUCCGUGGCGCCUAAGUGAAUCUGUGGUCAAAGGGAGCUAACUGCAGCACCAUCUUGAGUCAGAAGAUGGUUACCUAUCUCCCUUGAUUAUGAUACAGAAUUAUAUGUACAUGUAUUUUUGCACGCCAACUUUUUGGUCUUCAACCAAUAUUUUCUAGAGAAUUCUGUUUUUGUGCUCGAGCUCUUGCUUCUCACUCGACCACCAUACUAAAACCACUAUGAUACACUACACUCACCUUUGAAGCUUUGGGGUGAAAAAAAAAGGGGAAAAGCUUUGUUUGCAUGUCGAUUUCAAGCAGCCAUGAAUUUAUACCAUUACUAAGUAUACUGGUGUGGAAUAGGGAAUAGACAGUAUAUAUGUCUAAAUAAGCCAUCAUCAUCACCGAAAAUGCUUGGGCAGCAAGGAGCAAGGGAAAUAACAAUAACAAACAACACCUGACAGUGAUCAAGAGUUGCAUCCCAGAUUUAAAAAAAAUAAAUAAAUAAAAAAAAAAUUUUAAAAAUGGAAAAUUUGUUCUGCGCCUAGUUAAUGACUUUAAAUUAGCGCAAAAAAUGUAAAAUCAAAAUUAUUUUUUUUACAAUUAUAUCUCAUUAUUUUCUUUCCUCUUAAUCAGUGUUAUGAGCCAUGUGUUUAGUGAAUUCCGUAAUCCCUCCGCCCACCGCAACGUGUAAGUGCGCGUUUGUUUGAAAAUGGCGACUUCCAUUCAGUUUCGUAGUUUCACCUGACUGUCCGAAGGUGGGGUAUUUCGGGCACACCAGUUGCAGGCUAAUGGACAAAUGAUAGCCGACCUUAUACCGAUGGGCCCAGAAGCACGCUGGAUAUCAGUCUAAAACUUUCGAGAUGGAACCGGCAGAAGACCAUGGCCUUGAGUUCCAGGACAGUUUUGAAGUUGCAAAUGUAGAAAUCAGUCAUCGAUUACAAGCAGAGGGCCUAAGUUCACAAUGUGAUGAAGGAGAGAAAUUGAUGUACAUAUGGAGAUUGUACAAAAAGCUCGAGGGAGACCUGCAUAAAGCUCAAGAGAGUGAAGAAAAGCUGAAAGAGGCACAAACAGAAGAGAUGCGGGAAGUAGAGAACUAUGUCGAGCACAUAAGGCACCUGUCAGAAGAGCGUGAAACCCUUAUUCAAGAACUGGAGACUGAAAAUGAACAACUGAAAUUGGCGCUGGAGCAGCUGCAUCCUGAACUUAGUGAUGAGGCCCAGAAAGAAGCAGCAGAAAUGCUUACACAGCAGGGUUUGGCAGAGAUUGCUAUGGCAACUCCUAGCGAACAGGUGGCCUAUUUGCUGGUGGAGCGAGCUCGCCUUCUGGAUGAACUAGAAAGUUUGCAGACUAAACCUAGCCAAACAGAUGCCCAUGAAGGAAGUGAAUCCCAGGAACUGAAGGAUAUUCUUGAGAAGGAGCGCAAGGAGCUAGAACAAGCAUUGACUCAGCAGCGAGAGAGUGCCACCUUCAUGAAGGAAAAGCUUCGGCAGGAACACGAGGAGGAAAUCAGUGCCCUCAUGGAUGAGAACACAAAGCUCGAGGAUGAGCUUGCAGAAGUGAAAAGACAAGUCACACAGCUGGAAGCACAGAUUCAUAGAUUGAAAAAAGAACAUGCUGAAGAACAAGACCUUCUUGAGGAAGAGAGAGGAGAAAUGGUGCACGAGAGGGAUGUAGCAGUUAAAGAGAAGAAGAUUAUUGUGGAAAAAUUUGCACUUUUAAAAAAAGCGAAAGAGGAGGCUGAGCUGAAGAUAGACUCUUUAGAGAAAGAGAGAGAAACAUGGAGAGAGUCAUCCAGGGAAGUCCCAUCAUCUCCCUUGCCAAGUCCAUCUCCAAUGCGAUCAUCUAAUGAUGUAGCACUUCGUAAAGUGAUUGAAGAGAAAACAAAGGUUGAGGGGGAGAUAAUAACUCUUCGCACGGAAAUUCGAUUGCUCAGAAACGAAAAAGAGAACCAAGAAGAAGAGGCAAAGAGGGCAAAAGGUGAACGCGAAAAGCUGCAGGUCACCAUACAACAGCUGCAGCUGAAGAACAAAAAUCUUCGGCAGGAACUAGAGGAUGUGGAGGGACAGUUAGAAGAAGCAGAGACUGCUGCAGAGGAAGCCAAGAAAAGUCAAGAAGAAGUUCAAAAGAAGUACGAGGAAUUGUUGGCUGAAGUGAAGACAUUGCGUACUGAAGCCCAGCGUUGUACAACCCUCCAGGACAUAACUGACAUACUAACCAAUGAGAAGGAGCAGCUGACAAGCACCUUGGACAAAGUGCGGGUGGAGAUGAAAAAGGUUCUAGAGGAAAAAGACAUCCUGAGCAGUCAAAACCUGCAUCUUACAUUAGGAGAACAGGAACUGACAAAACAGGUUGCCUCCCUCAGGGAGGAGCUGUUUACUAUGGAGAAGGAGAGAGACGAGGUGUUUAUAGAGAGAGAUGAACUGUUAACUACACAAAACACCAGGGAAGGUAUGCUGUCCAGUCUACGCAUGGAAUUAAGUUCUGUUCAAGAUUUUUCCCAUAAGGCAUCCAGCAUGUCUGAGCAGCUAAUAAAGGAGAAAACAGAUUUAGAGCAAGAGCUGAAACAGACACGGAAUAGUCUUGAAACUGCCAAGCAUGCAGAGCAGGAACUUGCAAAGCAGGAGCUGAUUGUCAGUCACCUCAAAGAACAAAAUGCUAACUUAAAUGAUCAGCUUACCAAACUGCAGUCACAGCUUGAGUGGGCUCGCACCACUGAGAAGAGUUUCAUAGAUGCACAGCAAUCUGCACAAAGGGCACAUGUGGAGUCAGAGAAGAGAAUGGCAGGUGAAGUUGAUGAUUUGAGACUAAAGCUCCAGCAUGCACUUACUGAGCUCCAGGCACUGAAAACUUCUUAUGAACAAGAGUCCGCUCAGCGAUCAUCUUUGUCUCAGCAGCUUUCCCUCACAGAGUCUCGUCUUCUUGAGUCUGCCGAAGUGAAGAACAAUUUGGACAAAGAGCGCAUGACCAGAGCAGAACUUGAACUGAAAAAUAAAGACUUGGAGAGAAAACUUGCUGACAAAACUCGAAUUGCUGACAGUUUUGAAACUGAGAGAAUGCAAAGGAUAGAACUGGAGAGAAAGAUUAUGGACUUAGUUAACAAUCACUCAGUAGAGGUACAAGAGCUUCAAUCAGCAUUGGAGAGAGAGAAAAAUCAGCGGUGUACCCUUGAGCUAAAGAUUCAGGAGCUGGAGCAGCUCUUAGAUGAUGUCAAGGGGGAUAGUGAGACAGUUCAGCAAAGCAUGAAGGUGAAGAUUACAUCGCUGGAGAAGCGAGUACAGGCCUUACAGGAUGACCUAUUUAGUGCUCAGGAUGAGCUUCAGACCUACCAGCAGAAGUACGAAGAAUCACUGAGAGAAGCAGAGGUUACCAGGUCAGAAUUUGUGAAACAGCAAGAAUAUGCACAGCAACAACAACUGCAGUUUGUCAGUGAAGCAGUCAGCAUGGAGGAGCUGAAAUCAUCACUUGAAAGCACUAGCACCAAGCUGCAGGUCGUGCAGAAUGAACUGAACAUUGCCAACACCAGAGUUCUUCAGCUGGAAGAACAGUGUGCAUCAGACAAAGUUGACUUGAGAAAAUUUCAGACGGAGGCCCAAACUCUCAAGUUUCAGCGAGAGGUGGAUGCUCACAAGCUGCAAGAAAUGGAAAACUCCCUCAAAUCACUAAAGCGUGACUUAUCAGAAAGUCAGAGUGUCCUUAUGCAGACAACAUCUCAGCUGCAGAACAAACAGAUUGUGCUCGAUUCAGUAAAGCAUGAAAUGGAUGCACUAAAUCAUGAACUUGAACGAGUGCGAGAGAGCACCAGGCUAGAUCUGGAGGAAAAGUCACAGCACACUGAUAAGCUCCGAAUGCAGGAGCUGAAAAUACGACAGCUGGAACAAGAGAAAAAAGACAUGAUCAAAAAGCUCUCAGACUUUUCCAGCCAGUGUGAGGAGUUAAAAGAGAAACUAAAAAAUGAGAAAGAUCGAAACACUGACUCAUACCACCAACGAGCCAGAUAUGUGGAACAGCUAGAGCUGGACCUUGCGGCAGCCAACAAGCACAUCAGGUCAUUGCGUGAGGAACUUCAGCAGCAUCAGAGCUCAGUUUUUAAGUUGCAGGCUGACACCCUUGGGCAGUCGGCUAAGUUUGGGUCCACAGUUGCACGACUUGAAGCUGAAUUGAAAGAAGUGAGAGAUCAGCACAAAAGAGAGACAGAUUCACUACAGGAGAGACUAUCCAUAGCAAGUACAGAAAGUCGAGAAGCCAAAAAUGAAGCCAUUGAAAAGGAACAGAUUGUCACUGACCUGCGGCGGGAGGCCCUCCGCACACAGAGCACCAUUGAGAGGCUGCAGGCUCAGCUUCUGUCACAGUCAAAGACACAUGCUGAAAUGGAGAAUAGGAAUACCACACUGGAGCAUGAAAUGACCAAGGUAUGGAGUCAGGUACGAAUGUUGAGGGAGCACAAUGCUGUUCUUGAGAACAAACUUAAAGUGGCUGAAGAGGAACUGGAUAGGAAAUCUGUAACAAUGAAGCACUUGGAGACUUCAGUUUCUGAAAAGGACUCAGCCUUUCAGAGAUCUUUACGAGAAUGGCAGAACCGAGCUGAAGUAGCCGAAAAACGGAAGCAUUCUUCUGAUUCUGCAAGACAAUUGGAGCAAGAGGUCUCAGCAGUAAAUGCCAAAGAGGUGACUGUAGAGAAGCAGCUUCAAAAGGUGGAGUUAAGUCAAGUAGAACUGCAUGACAAGUCCAAACAACUUGCUAGCAUUCGCAACCAGCUGGAGGGAGAAAAACUUCAGAGGACCUUGUUAGAACAAACAGUAGCAGAACUGAAACAUCAAGUGUCACUUUUAAAGCAGCGCGAGAAUAAGGCAGCAUCAGAAAACAAAGAGUUGCAGCAUACUAUCAUUGAUCUCCAAUCUCGCCUGAGCUGUUUACAAGAUAACAGUGGCACUGCCUUCCAGACACAACAGCAUCAAAAGAUUGCAGAAGUUGGGCGACAGAACCUGAUGGAUCAGAUCUCAGGCCUUCAGCAUGAAGUCAAGUCCUUGAAAUAUGAACUCAUGUCAAGUGGUGAGAGGCGUGACCUUGAGUUCCAGCAUUAUGAGGAACGCAAACAACGCACCAAGGCAAAACUCAUGAAAGCGAGAGAAACCUUUACAUCUGAACGCUCCAAGUAUCAUGAGCAUAUGCAGCACAUGGAUGAGGACUUAGAGCAUACCAGAGCUGCUUUGCGAAAGGAAUUAGAGUGGAAAGAAAAGAUGGACAAAAACUACAAACAUUUGUUGCAGGAAAAGCGUGAGCUUAUCACUCACAAGCAGCAGUGGUAUGUACAUAUAACUCUAGUCUCCUGCAUGACAUUUGUAUGACAAAUUAAAUUUUAUUUAUACCUGAUCCACAGUAACUUUUAAAUGCAUUUUCAUCCUCAUGCUAAUGGAAAUGGGUUUCAAGAAGAGGGUUUUCUUUAUUCACCAGGCCCUUUAUGCAGGAAGCCCCAAUUCGACUAUCAUCACGAUACUGCUUGAAAAUUCUGAUGUAGAGCCGUACCAUAUGAUAGCUGUCGAUUGGGGGCCCAUUCAUUUGAAUUUUCACAUGCCUAUAGUCCAGUUGGGGCUUUCUGCAUACGAGGCCUGAUAUUGUGCAUGGAAAAUUGUCUAACACUGCCAGUCCCACACUUUUGUAGGAUGAGGGACCAACAAGCAACUGAUAAAAUUAGUUUUCAAGCUCUGUAACACUUCUGACUGAUCAGUUCUAUUACAGUUUCUAUUAUCUGUCACCUCAAGGUGUUGACGAUGACAAACUUUAUUAAUCCCAGUGGGUAAUUAUACUCAGGAUGUGUGCUCAGGUAAAAAAAAUAAACAAAAAAUAAUCAGCAGGUUCUUUUUUAUGUCAUGGGUGGUGUUCUUUCUUAGCUGGGUUCCUGUAUACACGUAUAAAGAUUAGAAGUAAAGUACAAACAGCGAAUACACAAUAGAUGUUCCUCACUAGGUGUUUGAUCAGAUGGGAAAAGCUCAGAGAGUGUUGACCUGACAGACCUGCAUGUGUCACUGUGUUGAAUGCACUAAAAUAGUUGAGAGCUUAAAACUGUUUGUCAGAUCACAGAGAACAUAAGACUGGAACACAAACUGAGCUUGAGGAUAAAAACAAAUCCAUAAUAAUUUCUUUUCUGUUGAUUUCUAGCGACUAAAAUUAGAUGAAAAAUUUGUUGUGGGAUUUGUGGCAUGUGUUAUUCUUCAUUUUAUUAUCACUUUGAUGUUUCUGUUAUGAAUUGAUAAGUUUUAUCGAUUAUUUAUCUUUCACAUUUGUUUUGCAAAACACUGAAUAAAUGGGUUCACACUAACAGCAGUAGUGUGAAGGUAAUAAAUGAGAUUUGAGAAUCAAUCAUUGUUAGUCAGUUAAAUAAGUUAUAUUUAAGAGCCUAAGUCAGUUUGGUAUAUAUAGAGUUUGUAUAUUGUUAGAUGGGUGUUUCUUUCAGCUUCAUAUGUACCUUGCAUUAACAGAUGCUUCAUAAUUGCUUAGUAUUUCUCACACACACCAUAAGCAGUGAUGUUUCGUGUAAAUUUAGCAUUUAUAUCUAAACAGUCUCAUGAUGUCUGGGUGCGUCCUCUAUGGUCAGCUGUUCAGUCACUAGCUCCAGUUUAAUUAGAGAUGCUUUAUUUUAAAAAUGUUAUAAACAGAGAUAUUUUUUUUAAAGUGACUGUAUUUAAAAUACUAACUCUGCGUGUUUCCUUUUCCUGCCUAAUGUGUUCGACCCCAUACUUGAGAUGAGGCUGCUUUUCCAGUGAUUUGGGCUUGUUUCAGAAUGACAGAACAGGAGGAGAUUAUCCGCGACAAGUCUCGCUCACUCUCCGUGGUCGAAUCUCGCAUCAGCUACUUGGAGAACGAGAACCGCCAUUUG
rnacentral:misc_RNA from 1 species